CUUGCAAGGAAGUUGAAUAUACAUGGGAGAAGAGAGAGAGAGAGAGUAGGAGCUCACAUCAUGGUCGAAGAUGUUAGGCUAUUGAGAGAGAUAGAGAGAGAGCUGACAUCAUGGUCAAAGAUGUUAGGCCAUUCUCCUUGGCUGCUUCUUCGUUGGGCGGCAUAAAGGAGUUGCAUUUCGGCGAAGGACGUCACAAUUAAGCAUGAUUGGGGGUAUGUAUAUCUACUUUUCUUGCAAAACAAAUAAUAAUGGAAGCUCCUCCACAUCAUCAUCAUCAUCAUCGUCAUCUUAGGUAGGUACUUUGUUUACAUGUUGUUUGAUUCUGACCUUUCUGAAAAUAAACAAGAAGAUAUAUAUGGUGUGUAAAACAAACCACAGAGCCAAUUUCCUUGGUUUUUUAUAAUAAUAAUUCAGUAAUAAUAAGUAGCACCUUUCCAUGUUAUUAGUAGGUACUGGAUAGAGUAAACCAAAAACACAUGCUGGUUCACUUCCAAAACUGAAACUCUCGCACAAGAAAACAUCCUGCCUAGCCUAGCUCCCUCCUUAUUAAUGCCGAUCAUGAUAAAUCCGUGAUCUGAGGAUGAAAUCACAAAUAAAAAUCGCAUGAAUUGAUGUUAAAGCAUUUAAUUUUACAACAACAUGAUCACAAAAUAUGCUGUACUAGCUCACUGAGUCUAGCUACUGUCUAUAUAUACUACAGAAUUACUAAAAAAACAGAGCAAAUAAGUAGGAACCAGUCCUUUGUAUAUUUCAGUUCGAUCUUAGUUGCAGAUGGCCGAUGGCUGGCUGGCAUAACAAGGGGAGUGGCAGUCGCAAUCGCAGCGAUGGGGCCAAUGCUAAUGGUGGUGGUGGCGGCAAUGGCAGCCGCCGCGGCCACACCCGGCGGGCUUUCCCUUGGGUCCAUCGUCACCUGCUCUGAACCAUGUGGAGACGGGCACGUCCUUCAGGUAGUUGGACGCGGCCAGGGCGACGGCCGCGGCAAUGGAGACGGCCCCCGACGCGCGGGCCCGCUGGCAGAACUCGCCGGCGGCCUUGCAGACGCCGGCCACCCUGCGGCCGCAGGUGCCGAAGUCGUCCACCGAGAAGGACAGCGCCGAGGACGAGUAGAGCAGCACCUGCGCGGCGGUGUCGACGAGCUCGGACAGAGACUUGAAGACCUUGCCCUUGUCCGCCUUGCCGGACGCCGUCAGCCACGCCGCCAACGCCUGUAGCGCCGCCGAUACCACAUUGGCGACUAGGGAAUAACUGCACCGUCACCGCGGCAUAGAGUUACAUACCCAUGCAUGAUUUGGAUUUGCUCGAUCAGCAGUGUGGUGUCAUGGCCAUGGGUGCCUCAUGCAUGCGAGGAAGAAGAGUUGAUGCAUGGAUACGUACGGUGCGGCCGCGUUAUACGUACCUAAGGGAGCUGUAGUCUCUGUAGGAGACCGGCUGCUGGCUCGCCGUCGCCGGAGAGCAGCCGGUGCAGGAGCGCUGCGAGGCGGACGCCAUCAUGACCGCCGACGCCACCGACAGAGCUACGGUGGCGAUGCGGAGGGCGAGGCAGGCCGCAUUUGACGACGACCCGUCGGACUUGCCGCCACCAUCACCAGCAGCAGCCAUGGUUCAGAGAAACCGACGAGCGAUAGCACAGCUAGCAUCGAUCAUGUGGAUCAAACGCAUGGAUAUACAAAGCUAGUUCGUUGGACCUAACCAUAAAUCAUGCACAGCGGCAAAGAAGGAACAUCUACUUCAUAACUUCUUCCCCAUUAUGGAGCUAGCAUUAUGGAUUUCACCUCUAAUUAUUUUAUGUUAGCGAAUGAUUCUGACAGCAGUUACCUACUACUACUAGCAGGCUACACAUUUAAUCUGUAUUAUAGAUAUAUAUAGAAUAUAUAUACACAAACAAAGUGGAUAAUUGCAUGC